GACGAACGCUGGCGGCGUGCUUAACACAUGCAAGUCGAACGGAAAGGCCCUGCUUUUGUGGGGUGCUCGAGUGGCGAACGGGUGAGUAACACGUGAGUAACCUGCCCUUGACUUUGGGAUAACUUCAGGAAACUGGGGCUAAUACCGGAUAGGAGCUCCUGCUGCAUGGUGGGGGUUGGAAAGUUUCGGCGGUUGGGGAUGGACUCGCGGCUUAUCAGCUUGUUGGUGGGGUAGUGGCUUACCAAGGCUUUGACGGGUAGCCGGCCUGAGAGGGUGACCGGCAACAUUGGGACUGAGAUACGGCCCAGACUCCUACGGGAGGAAGCAGUGGGGAAUAUUGCACAAUGGGCGGAAGCCUGAUGCAGAAACGCCGCGUGCGGGAUGACGGCCUUCGGGUUGUAAACCGAUUUCGCCUGUGACGAAGCGUGAGUGACGGUAAUGGGUAAAGAAGCACCGGCUAACUACGUGC
rnacentral:rRNA from 1 species